rnacentral:misc_RNA from 1 species
GCUACCACCGCCGCCGUUGAUGACGAUGCAGUACAACAACCUCGGCCGCUCCGGCCUCCGCGUGAGCCAGCUCUCCUACGGCGCCUGGGUCAGCUUCGGCAACCAGCUCGACGUCAAAGAAGCGAAAUCCCUUCUCCAGACCUGCCGCGACGCCGGCGUCAACUUCUUCGACAACGCCGAGGUCUACGCCAACGGCCGCGCCGAG